rnacentral:tRNA from 1 species
AUUUUUCUAAUAUAUAAAGUAUAGUUGGCUUCCAACCAACAAGUUUGAGGGUCUCAAGGAAAAUA